UUUGCCUACGGGGGGCAGCAGUGGGGAAUUUUGGACAAUGGGCGCAAGCCUGAUCCAGCUAUUCCGCGUGUGGGAUGAAGGCCCUCGGGAUGUAAACCACUUUUGUAGAGAACGAAAAGACACCUUCGAAUAAAGGGUGUUGCUGACGGUACUCUAAGAAUAAGCACCGGCUAACUACGUGCAAGCAGCCGCGGUAAUACGUAGGGUGCGAGCGCUAAUCGGAUUUACUGGGCGUAAAGGGUGCGCAGGCGUUUGAGUAAGACAGA
rnacentral:rRNA from 1 species